AUUAAUUGAACUACAAUGAUAACAGGAUAUUGUGGUUAUCAAUAUAUUUUAUUUCUCUAUAGGUCUAUGCCAAUGAUGCCAACACCAUACAGCACAGUCAUUCAUUCCACUUAAAGAGUGGAACAUCAACAUAUUGUACCAUUGUAUUUAUCCAAAUAAGGUUUUCUAAAAUCCCCAGUUGAAGGCAUCAGGACAUCAGAUGUUGGCCUGGACCUACAGAUGUACCAACAGUACACCACACUGACCUCUCUGCUUUUGGAUGGCUGACUACUACCAUGUUCUAUUAAGGGUCUCUGGGAUCCCCAGUUGAAGGCAUCAGGACA